ACUGUGGAGGAAGGCACAUCAAAACAAAAAUGGAGAAUACGAUGGCGAUGAUGUUAGGGAAAAGGCAGCACAGCUUGAGGAGUUUGAUAAGCAGCUGGAAGUGGAAGAUGGAACUUUGACGAAAAAAGCAGGCACUGAGCUUGGCCUACAGAGGCCAGCCACUUUCAGACCCUGAUGAACAUGAUGCUGACUCAAACACUAAGAAGAUAAAGAACAAGAAACCUUCAGAUACAAAGAGUGGGGAACUGAAGUCUCGGAGAUCCAGCAAAAGACUCAAGACUGCAGCCUAAUUAUUAAGAGAAAUAGACUGUAGAAUUUGGAUGUUUAAACUUGUAAA